GAUGAACGCUGGCGGCGUGCCUAAUACAUGCAAGUCGAGCGAACAGACGAGGAGCUUGCUCCUCUGACGUUAGCGGCGGACGGGUGAGUAACACGUGGAUAACCUACCUAUAAGACUGGGAUAACUUCGGGAAACCGGAGCUAAUACCGGAUAAUAUAUUGAACCGCAUGGUUCAAUAGUGAAAGACGGUUUUGCUGUCACUUAUAGAUGGAUCCGCGCCGCAUUAGCUAGUUGGUAAGGUAACGGCUUACCAAGGCAACGAUGCGUAGCCGACCUGAGAGGGUGAUCGGCCACAAGGGAACUGAGACACGGUCCAGACUCCUACGGGAGGCAGCAGUAGGGAAUCUUCCGCAAUGGGCGAAAGCCUGACGGAGCAACGCCGCGUGAGUGAUGAAGGUCUUCGGAUCGUAAAACUCUGUUAUUAGGGAAGAACAAAUGUGUAAGUAACUAUGCACGUCUUGACGGUACCUAAUCAGAAAGCCACGGCUAACUACGUG
rnacentral:rRNA from 1 species